AUACGGAGGGUGCAAGCGUUACUCGGAAUCACUGGGCGUAAAGCGCGCGCAGGCGGUCUUUUAAGUUGGAUGUGAAAGCCUACGGCUCAACCGUAGAACUGCAUCCAAAACUAUUAGACUAGAGUGCGGGAGAGGCAGAUGGAAUUAGUUGUGUAGGGGUAAAAUCCGUAGAGAUAACUAGGAAUACCAAAAGCGAAGGCAAUCUUCUGGAACACUACUGACGCUGAGGCGCGAAAGCGUGGGGAGCAAACAGGAUUAGAGACCCUAGUAGUCC
rnacentral:rRNA from 1 species